AAAAAAGCAAACUUUAAAUUUCUGUGUCCAACUUUGACUGUCUAUCUUAUAUAAAAAUUUUUUAUAAUUCAUAUUUUCAUUGUUGUUAAAUAAUAAAACAUGAUUAAUAUUUUAUGCGUGACUUGUCUUUUUAAUUUUUUUUCUAAUUUUUUCAAAUAAAACGAACAGUCAAACGUUGGACACGGAAACCAGGGUUUGUCUUUUU
rfam:Oryza barthii chromosome 2, whole genome shotgun sequence.